CGCCCAUUGUAUCCAUCGUCUUCACUUCUCCUGCCUCCCGGUUGUCCUCCCGCAACGGCCAUGGAUGUGGCAUCUCCUAGCUCCGAUCGAGAUCCGCAGGCAGGGCUGCACCCCUCCGCCAGCGCCAGCUCCAGCUCCAGCCCCAUUUCCAGGUUAUUUUCCGUUGUACGCACUCGCUUCGUACGUGGUGUACGCUACAACGAGCGGAGUACCAACCGCUAUUCAAGGCGGUGUGUACGCUGUUGGAGUAGGUGGCUACGGAGGUUUUUAUCCAACAUGGAUGGCAGCAUAAUCUCCGGCUCGGUCCACCAUCUCUUUCGACAUAGGCAUAGUGUCAGUCUAUGGACUCUACUGUUGCCGAAUUGCCGGUCUUUUAUCUUUCUGUUAAUCAGACUACUGGUGUUUGGCUGUGUGCAUCCUAGUUAUGCAGAGGCCGGGUGAUACUCUUAAUGCUUUGUAUCACUUUGAUGCUACAUUUUGAGAUAAUAAAAGCACCCUUUAUCGAAAAAAUGAUUGUUAGUAAUAUUUUUUAAUUCAAUAGUCUUUUACAUGAACAUAUUAAUAGUCAAAGUUAUAGAAGUUUGACUGCACUCUUCUAGAACAUCAUCUCUUUUUCAAUGGGUGCACUCUGUUCUCUAAUUUACUCAUUCUUAAGGGUUUUCAUUUGUACCAGCAGAGACAGUAACAUGGCUAGCAAGUUAAAAAUGCAGCAAGUUUAACUAUCCGACUACUACAACAAAUCACGGAUAAUUUCUCGGAGGAGCGAAAAAUUGGUCAAGGCACAUAUGGAACAGUUUACAAGGGGGUGCAUGCCAGUGGGGAAGAGAUAGCUGUAAAGCUGCUCCAUAAUAACCUGCAAGGAACUGACGAUGAGCAAUUCAAACGUGAGUUUGAAAACCUCAUGAGGCUUGAUCAUCAGAACAUUGUACAGUUAGUCGGCUAUUGCUACGAAACACAUCAUAAACCUAUGCUGCACAAUGGAGAAACCAUUUACGCUGAAGAAACAAACAGAGUGCUCUGUUUUGAGUAUAUGCCAAAUGGGAGCCUUCGAAAUCAUAUUUCUGAGGAAUGUGAUGGACUUGACUGGCAGACACGUUAUGAAAUUAUCAAAGGAAUAUGUGAGGGCUUAAAAUACCUUCAUGAAGGAUUCAAAGAACCAAUUUACCAUAUGGACUUAAAACCUGAUAAUAUACUGCUAGAUGAGAAUAUGAUGCCAAAACUAGCUGAUUUUGGCUUGUCUAAGCUCUACGAUGGAGAACAAUCGAUGAUCACUCAAAUUCUUACAGGAACAAUUGGAUACUUGCCACCGGAAUAUUUAUUUGAACACAUAGUCUCGAAGAAGUUGGACAUAUUCAGUCUUGGUGUUGUAGUGACGAAGAUAAUUACGGGACCUAGAGGCCCCACUAGAAGGGGUGAAAUGACACAACAAGAGUUUACUAAUCAACAACAAUAUUAUUAGGGAUGUUGUAGCGCAAGGAAGUGAUCAACGUGAUUAUGAUGCUGUACAUGAUGAAAACCCAUCAGUCAUGCACCCUGUUGAGAGUGGUGUAUCAGAAAAUCUAGAGGGAGCUAAGAAUGAAUACGCAGCUGCAGAGUACGACCCGCUGCCAGCAGUAGAUGGGCUAAGAAUCACUGGUGAAGCUUUUCCUGGAAGAGAACUUCAAGUGAGUGGGUAUUCCAUCAACGGGACCACAAGCUGCAACUUUGAGUGGGUACGCCAUUUGGAAGAUGGAUUGCAGAAGUUCAUAGAAGGUGCACGGCAGCCCACAUAUCUAGUUACCGCGGAUGAUGUGGACACUAUACUAGCCGUUGAGGUCCAGCCACUAGAUAACCGAGAAAGAAAGGGGGGCAUCGUUAAGGUUUAUGCUAAUGAGGAAAGAAAAAUUCCUUGUGGUUAUUUUCCGUUGUACGCACUCGCUUCGUACGUGGUGUACGCUACAACGAGCGGAGUACCAACCGCUGUUCAAGGCGGUGUGUACGCUGUUGGAGCAGGUGGCUACGGAGGUUUUUACCCAACAUGGAUGGCAGCAUAAUCUCCGGCUCGGUCCACCAUCUCUUUCGACAUAGGCAUAGUGUCGGUCUAUAGACUCUACUGUUGCCGAAUUGUCGGUCUUUUAUCUUUCUACUUAUCAGACUACUGGUGUUUGGCUGUGUGCAUCCUAGUUAUGCAGAGGCCGGGUGAUACUCUUAAUGCUUUGUAUCACUUUGAUGCUACAUUUUGAGAUAAUAAAAGCGCCCUUUAUCGAAAAAAAAUGCCCCCCCUAAAGAAUUCCUCGAAUAAUGUUAAUUCUGCAAUGCUUUUGUUUGAGUGCAAAAAGAGAAUAUUUAAAGAACCAUCAUGCAUAUUUCUGAGUACAGAAUCAUUAUCUGUGCAGAUCCUGAAACUAAGGAGCUUAUCAAGCAAACCCUUUCAGUUGGCCAUGUGUCUUAUGAAGUUCUUCUGCCUGCG
rnacentral:rRNA from 1 species